GCAUUAAUGGGGUAGUGGUAACCUGGGUCGUUGCCAUAUGAUCUCGACCCGCCGGGGGUUCGAUUCCCUCUUAAUGCA